CAAGCACAGGGCCCUGGCAGGGAAGGCAUCAGAACUGAGGCCUGGUUUGGGGUCAUUGUGGGUGAAUUCACCUGUGAAUACUGUGCUCCCAAAUUCCACCUCACUUGUUAGAGGACAGCAGAGGAGGCUUCUGUCUGGAGUCCCUGAAAAUAUCUCAUCUGGGGCACUUAUCUUGCAAGAUGAUGGUUGUAUCAGUUUCCUGGGGCUGCCAUGACAAAUGGCCACAAACUGGGUGACUUCAGGCAACAGAAAUGUAUCAUCUCAUGGCUCUGGAGGCCCGAAGUCCAAAACCAAGGUGUGGGCAGUGCUGGUGUUUCUGCGGCUGUGUGGGAAGGUCUGUCUCAGGCCUCUACCCUGGUGCUGGCAAUCCUUGGCUUGUAGGCAUGUCACCUCGAUCUCUGUCUGUCCCCACCCAGCCCUCUUCCCCCUGCCUCUGUGUUCUCCUCCUCUAGAGGGACACAGUGUUCGGAUUUAGGGCUCACCCUAAUCUAAUAGGACUCCAUCUAACUUACGUCUUCAAAGGCCCUAUUUCCAAGUAAGGUCCCACUCACAGGUGCCAGGGGCUAGGACUUCAGUGUCUCCUGGGGGACAUUACUCGUGACACUUGUCCCCUUCAGGGUCUGCCCUGCCUUCUCUCCCUGCAGCCAGGAUGAAAGCUGGAGCCUCUGCACGGUCCAAGCAGGGAGGCGAUGGCUCGCGUCACAGUCCAAGCAGCCAGGCGACGGUCCUGGCUGACGGGCUCUGGACACAACGAGAAGUUGGCGUCUACACCCGGAAGAGGGCCCUCAUCAGGCCCCAACACGCCGGCACCCUCAUCUCAGACCUGUGGCCUCCAAAACAGUGAGAAAUCAACCCUGCUGUUGAUCAGCCACGCGUCUAUGGCAGCCAAACAGACUCAGGCAGGGUCUGGGGCCUGGGGGUGGGUUUAAUGUUUAUUUAUUGAUUUAUUUAUUUUUAAUUUUUUUUUGAGACAGGUCUCAUUCUAUUGCCCAGGCUGAGUGCAGUGGUGCAGUCACAGCUCACUACAGCCUUGAAUUCCUGGGCUCAAGCAAUCCUCCCACCUCAGCCUCCCAAGUAGCUGGGACCACAGGUGCACACCACCACACCUGGCUAUUUUUCUUUUGCAGAGAUGGGGUUUCCUUAUGUCUCCUGGGCUGGUGUUGAAGUCCUGAGCUCAAGAAAUCCUCCCAUCUCAACCUCCCAAAGUGCUGGGCAGUGCCCAGCUGAGCGGGUGGGUCCACUGGAUGAGACCACAGGGACUACCACCUGCCUCGGUCCCAGGAGGGCCCGGAGGACACAGCCAUAGUGGAGCGGCCAGCAUGGUGCUAGCACAAAGCAGAGCUGCUGAGAAGCUCCUGGAGAGCUGAGCUGCGUGGACGAUGUUAGCAGGAGGAAGUGCUGCCCCGGGUCCUGCCAUGGGAGCCGUGUGGCUGCGCCAACCGCUGGAGGCAAGGGUCUUUGAAGAUGCAGUUAAGACAAGGCCGCACUGAAGUAGGGUGGACCCUAAAUCCGACGGCAGGUGCCUGAGAAGAAGAGGAGAGACAGAGACAGCAGAAUGACUCAGAGACGGAGGCAGAGACUGGGGCAGUGCACCUGCCAGGCCAGGAGGGCCAGAGGUUCCUGGCAACUCCAGAAGCAGGAGGGAGGCCGGGGGAGGGUCCUCCCUGGAGCUGCCAGAGGGAACCAGCCCUGCAGCGUCUUGAUUUUGGACAUUCGGCUCCAGAGAGAACAGAUUCUGUCACUCUAAGGCACCUGGUUUGUGGUACUUUGUUUAGGCAGCGGAGACCCCCAGCCCCAAAUAAACUCCCAGCACCCAAGU
rnacentral:lncRNA from 1 species